rnacentral:rRNA from 1 species
CCAGUGGCGAAGGCGACUCUCUGGUCUGUAACUGACGCUGAGGAGCGAAAGCGUGGGGAGCGAACAGGAUUAGAUACCCUGGUAGUCCACGCCGUAAACGAUGACUGCUAAGUGUUAGGGGGUUUCCGCCCCUUAUUGCUGCAGCUAACGCAUUAAUCACUCCGCCUGGGGAGUACGGUCGCAAGACUGAAACUCAAAGGAAUUGACGGGGGCCCGCACAAGCGGUGGAGCAUGUGGUUUAAUUCGAAGCAACGCGAAGAACCUUACCAGGUCUUGACAUCCUCUGACAAUCCUAAAAAUAGGACGUCCCCUUCGGGGGCAGAGUGACAGGUGGUGCAUGGUUGUCGUCAGCUCGUGUCGUGAGAUGUUGGGUUAAGUCCCGCAACGAGCGCAACCCUUGAUCUUAGUUGCCAGCAUUCAGUUGGGCACUCUAAGGUGACUGCCGGUGACAAACCGGAGGAAAGUGGGGGAUGACGUCAAAUCAUCAUGCCCCUUAUGACCUGGGCUACACACGUGCUACAAUGGACAGAAC